GGCAUAUUUUUGAAUGUCCAUCAAUUUCAUUGUUGAGUGAUAGAUUUUCUAAUCUCUAUGACAGGUUGUACGAAAGUAAAUACUAUAAGGCCAAGAUUAAUCUAAAUGACAAUGAUAUCGUACGUUCCUAUUCACCCUAUGCAUCCUACGCAAUCGUACGUGCUCGGAUAAGAAUAUCGACAUCUCGAUCUCUAUUCGUCCUUCCAAAAUAGGAAUACCUAACAGGUGAAACGUUUUUUUCACAACAGUUUGUAUAAUACACCCCACACAUCUACCCACACAUCUACCCACACGAUAGAUUAGACUUGACAGCUCACGCGCGGCAACGGCGGCAACCAAAUAUCGUAGCAAGAAGGGUGAUAAGUCGAGAAAUAAGUGAAAUAAGUCGAGUGAAAGUGUCUUAAUACAAAACUGUUAUACUCCACCAACACCGAAAUGAACCCGAUCGUUCAGCAAUGUCUUAAUUGACGCCCAUCCAAUACAGCGAAUCGUGUGCGUGGCGAAAACCCUUGUGAAAACCUCUAUACAGUGGAUCAGCAGCCGGUCUAACCGACGGCAGAGUAGCUACCAGUUGAUGCUUUGGUAUACGACGAAAUUAAAAUUAAAAUUUUGCCAGACCAUUAGGAUUUAGUUCUGCAACUGCCAACAAAGAUAUAUCCCUCAUACCUUUUGAUUACUUUGUGUGUUACGGUACGAAUAUAAUUUCUCUUUAUUCUCAUUCUUCAUGGCAAGAAAAGGACAUUUUACCUAAGUGGUGUGGACAGAGCGCUGGGCGUCGGAUGGGCAACUACUGGAGGAAACGGCUGGACCUAUUUUUUAUCAGACAAUGUGUUUCCACUUGGUACUGUAAGUGACGAUGCGGUUGAAUACAAUAACGAAGUGAGAUUUGUAAUUUUUUCUUGA